UCCUCAACAGAAGCUGCCCACAGGAGG
rnacentral:piRNA from 1 species